rnacentral:rRNA from 1 species
CCUACGGGCGGCAGCAGUGAGGAAUAUUGGUCAAUGGGCGGAAGUCUGAACCAGCCAUGCCGCGUGCAGGAAGACGGCUCUGUGAGUUGUAAACUGCUUUUGUACAAGGGUAAACCUGAAUACGUGUAUUCAGCUGAAAGUACUGUACGAAUAAGGAUCGGCUAACUCCGUUCCAGCAGACGCGGUAAUACGGAGGAUCCAAGCGUUAUCCGGAUUUAGUGGGUUUAAAGGGUGCGUAGGCGGAUUGAUAAGUUAGAGGUGAAAUGUCCGAGCUUAACUCGGGAACUGCCUCUAAUACUGUUGAUCUAGAGAGUAGAUGAGGUAGGCGGAAUGUAUGGUGUAGCGGUGAAAUGCUUAGAGAUCACACAGAACACCGAUUGCGAAGGCAGCUUACCAAUCUAUAUCUGACGUUGAGGCACGAAAGCGUGGGGAGCAAACAGGAUUAGAUACCCGAGUAGUC